rnacentral:rRNA from 1 species
GAUGAACGCUGGCGGCGUGCCUAACACAUGCAAGUCGAACGGACGGACGAGAAGCUUGCUUGUCGGAUGUUAGCGGCGGGAGUGAGAGUAACGCGUGGAUACCCUACCUAUAAGACUGGGAUCACUUGGGGAAACCGGAGCUAAUACGGGAUAAUAUUUUGAACCGCAGGGUUCAAAAGUGAAAGACGGUGUUGCUGGCACUUAUAGAUGGAUCCGCGCUGGAUUAGCUAGUUGGUAAGGUAACGGCUUACCAAGGCAACGAUGCAUAGCCGACCUGAGAGGGUGAUCGGCCACACUGGAACGGAGACACGGACCAGACUCCUACGGGAGGCAGCAGUCGGGAAUCUUCGGCAAUGGGCGAAAGCCUGACGCAGCAACGCCGCGUGAGUGAUGAAGGUCUUCGGAUCGUAAAACUCUGUUAUUAGGGAAGAACAUAUUUGUAAGUAACUGUAGAGAUCUUGACGGUACCUAAUCAGAAAGCCCCGGCUAACUACGUG